rnacentral:lncRNA from 7 species
GGGCGACUCGCCGACUCCGAGCACCCAGCAGGAGGGAAAGGGCGUUUCCUCUCCGGCUCUCCAUCCCGGUCACCCGUCGCACCACCCUCCUCGUCGCUGCUUCAUCGCGUCCCCCGUCGUCUGGUGGUGUGCAAUCUCGGGCUGCUGAAUCUAUCGGAGACUUGGGUCGCUCCUCAGACAGGGAGAACAAAAAAGAUGUUGGAGGCAGGAAGCAAGCGAAUCAGAGAGACGGUAAGAGAGGUGUUUAAUCGCGCGCAUGGGUGGGCUCCGGUGACAAGAAGUAUCACAUGGUGAAUUGGCAGCUGAGAGUGGUCGACUGUAGACAAUUAAGUAAGUGUUUGGUAAGACUUAGUUGAUCUAAAUAAGGUUGUAAGUCUGGAUUCCUGUGUCCCUGAUCACUUUUUUGGUGUUGCUCUAUUGGGAUGUAGCCAUGUGCCAUCCUUGUUGAAUGCGCGGGCUUCGUGUCCUGUGUUGGUUGUAAAAACUCUAUCGUUCUAUUUCUUAAUGAAAUAGGGGGCACUGCCCUUUUGG